rnacentral:rRNA from 1 species
UUGCCUAUUGCAACCACUAUAUACUUUUCACUUAGUAAUGGCGAACGAAGGGGGAACAGCUUGGGUUGGAAACUAAGGCUUCGGUCUUGGGUUGUGACCUGCAGACACAGCACCAACAGCGGCGCAAGCGUAAGCCUCUUGGAAAAGAGCAUUCACUCGGGUGAGAAUCCUGUGCGUCGCUUGACGUCCGCUGCGUACGGUGCGUGCUCUUAAAGUCACGCUCCUUGGAAUUGGAGCGUAAAUUAGGUGGUAAAUUUCAUCUACAGCGAAAUAUAAGCUCGAGACCGAUAGCAAACAAGUACCAUGAGGGAAAGAUGAAAAGGACUUUGGAAAGAGAGUUAAAAGUGCUUGAAAUCGCUGAAGGGGAAGCGAAUGGAACCAAGACCCUGGCUGAGACUGCUGCGAGUUUUCACUAGCCUUGUGCGUGAAUGCGUAAGCUUUUCGCACAUACGUGAAGGAAUGCUCGCGGUGUUUCUCAGCUUGCUCGUCAGCUGCAACGCUCGCUUGAGGAUGGCCCUUGUCGCGCGCGGCUCUUCUGCGGAAUUGCUUCGGCGCCUCUGGGGAUUCAGGCGAGCGUGUCUUGCUGAUUAAAUGGUUCUCUUCGACCCGUCUUGAAACCGGAAACCAAUGGUUA